rnacentral:sRNA from 1 species
UAGGUAUGAUACCUUAUGCGUUCCUUGC